rnacentral:rRNA from 1 species
UACGGGGGGAGCAAGCGUUGUUCGGAUUUACUGGGCGUAAAGGGCGCGUAGGCGGCCAGCACAGGUCAGUUGUGAAAUCUCCGGGCUUAACUCGGAAAGGUCAACUGAUACUGUGCGGCUAGAGUGCAGAAGGGGCAACUGGAAUUCUCGGUGUAGCGGUGAAAUGCGUAGAUAUCGAGAGGAACACCUGCGGCGAAGGCGGGUUGCUGGGCUGACACUGACGCUGAUGCGCGAAAGCCAGGGGAGCGAACGGG